rnacentral:rRNA from 1 species
GUGGGGAAUUUUGGACAAUGGGGGCAACCCUGAUCCAGCCAUCCCGCGUGUGCGAUGAAGGCCUUCGGGUUGUAAAGCACUUUUGGCAGGGAAGAAAAGUUUCGGGCUAAUACCCUGGAGCGAUGACGGUACCUGCAGAAUAAGCACCGGCUAACUACGUGCCAGCAGCCGCGGUAAUACGUCGGGUGCAAGCGUUAAUCGGAAUUACUGGGCGUAAAGCGUGCGCAGGCGGUUCGGAAAGAAAGAUGUGAAAUCCCAGGGCUUAACCUUGGAACUGCAUUUUUAACUGUCGAACUCGAGUAUGUCAGAGGGGGGUAGAAUUCCACGUGUAGCAGUGAAAUGCGUAGAGAUGUGGAGGAAUACCGAUGGCGAAGGCAGCCCCCUGGGAUAAUACUGACGCUCAUGCACGAAAGCGUGGGGAGCAAACAGGAUUAGAAACCCGGGUAGUCC